GACGAACGCUGGCGGCGUGCUUAACACAUGCAAGUCGAACGGAGUGGCGAACGGGUGAGUAACACGUGGGUGAUCUGCCUUGCACUUCGGGAUACGCUUGGGAAACUGGGUCUAAUACCGGAUAGUGCAAGAUGAGCUCGGGGCCUAUGAGCUUGUUGGUGGGGUAAUGGCCUACCAAGGCGUCGACGGGUAGCCGGCCUGAGAGGGUGUACGGCCACAUUGGGACUACGGGACGGCCCAGACUCCUACGGGAGGCAGCAGUGGGGAAUAUUGCGCAAUGGGCGGAAGUCUGAUGCAGCGACGCUGCGGGGGGGAUGAAGGUCUUCGGGUGGGAAACUCCUUGCGACAGGGACGCGGUACCGGCAGAAGAAGCACCGGCUAACUACGUGCCAGCAGCCGCGGUAAUAC
rnacentral:rRNA from 1 species